AGGUGGUGUACCUGGGUUUGGCGGUGUUCCUGGAGUAGGUGGUGUACCUGGAGCUGUGCCUGGAGCAGGUGGUGUACCUGGUUUUGGUGCAGGUCCUGGAGGCUUGUAUCCCAGUGGUGCUGGUACCUAUCCGGGAGGAGCAGGAGCCAAAGCACAGAAGUAUGGCAUUGGUGUGGGUGGGCUACCUGGACUUGGAACUGGUGGGCUUGGAGCUGGUGGACGUCCAGGCUUUGGUCAGGGAGCUGGUGGACUUCCUGGGUCCGGACUUGGAGCUGGUGGACUUCCUGCAUCUGGACUUGGAACU